CUGGUGCUGAGAUCAGUCGCAAAUUAGGAGAAAAUUAUAAAGACAGGUGAAGAGGAGAAUAACCAAGUUGUGUAGAAGGCAGAGGUUGCAGAAAAUGGCCCACAACCUGUCUAAAAUGGUUUGAGUUUCUCAAGGGAUGGUUACUAUAUUCUGAAUAGCAUUCAGUGCAUCAUCAAUGCAAUAUAUGGAAGAGUGAGAUCACAGAAAUUAGAGCUGGAAGAGACCUCAGAAGUCAUCUACUUGUGGGCUUCAAUGUUGAGUUGGCCAUAAAAUUCAGAUGACUCUGGGACACCUAGAAGUUCAUCUGACCUCAAGGGCCAUGGGGAAGGCCCCAAUCUUCUCCUCUUACAGCAUUGCCUUUCACUGGAUGACAUUGGUGAAGGAAUCAAACCAAAGAGAAAGAAGAGAAUGAGUCAAAGGAUGACUAAGGCC